AAACGAGCGUCGCCAGGCAGCGAUUGGCACUCUGAUUGAUGAUGCGCUCAAGAACGGCGCCAAGGCUCUGCCGGGCGGCAAGCGCAGCCAGAAUAAGGGUUACUUCUUCGAACCGACAGUGCUCGUUGAUGUGCCGAAGUCUGCGCGGGCCAUGAACGAAGAGCCGUUUGGCCCCGUUGCUCUGAUGUCUCGCUUCAAGGAUUUCGAUGAAGUGAUGACGGAAGCCAACCGUCUGCCAUAUGGCCUUGCCUCCUACGCCUAUACGCGUUCCGUCAAGACCUCGACCGCACUUGCUACCGGCAUCGAAAGCGGGAUGCUGUCGAUCAAUCAUUAUGGGCUGGCAUU
rnacentral:misc_RNA from 1 species